rnacentral:rRNA from 1 species
GACGAACGCUGGCGGCGUGCUUAACACAUGCAAGUCGAACGAGACGAUUUAGAAGCUUGCUUUUAUUGAGUCGAGUGGCAAACGGGUGAGUAACGCGUAGACAACCUGCCGCAAAGAUGGGGACAACAGUCCGAAAGGACUGCUAAUACCGAAUGUUGUAUCUCCUCCGCAUGGAAGAGAUAUUAAAGAUGGGCCUCUACUUGUAAGCUAUCGCUUUGCGAUGGGUCUGCGUCUGAUUAGCUAGUUGGUGGGGCAACGGCCCGACCAAGGCGACGAUCAGUAGCCGGACUGAGAGGUUAGGCCGGCCACACUUGGGACUGAGACACGGCCCAGACUCCUACGGGAGGC